rnacentral:misc_RNA from 1 species
UCAAUGACAUUUUUUAUGAAAUAGGUACAUUAAACAUUUCUGCCUAGAAAAAGAAAACGAGGACCGAAAUUUUAUGAGAGAAUUUUGAUUGUGAUAUUUUUGAUACAAAAAUAUACUCACACUCAAAGGAUGGCCGAAGUAUUUUGUUAUGAUAGAAACAAUAUGUAUGCUAAAAUCAUAAUGAUGAAGAAAAGAAAGAUCUGGAAUGGUUCCUUUUUCUGGUUUCCUUAUAUUGUGAACAUAUUAUUUCUCCUUGAAUGAAUUGGUCAUGUACAUUAAACAUUUCUGCCUAGAAAAAGAAAACGAGGACCGAAAUUUUAUGAGAGAAUUUUGAUUGUGAUAUUUUUGAUACAAAAAUAUACUCACACUCAAAGGAUGGCCGAAGUAUUUUGUUAUGAUAGAAACAAUAUGUAUGCUAAAAUCAUAAUGAUGAAGAAAAGAAAGAUCUGGAAUGGUUCCUUUUUCUGGUUUCCUUAUAUUGUGAACAUAUUAUUUCUCCUUGAAUGAAUUGGUCAU